UACGAAGGGUGCAAACGUUGCUCGGAAUUAUUGGGCGUAAAGCGCACGUAGGCGGCAUAGCAAGUCGGAUGUGAAAUCCCCUCGGCUUAACCAAGGAAGUGCAUCCGAAACUGCUGUGCUUGAGUACGAAAGAGGAUCGCGGAAUUCCCGGUGUAGAGGUGAAAUUCGUAGAUAUCGGGAGGAACACCAGUGGCGAAGGCGGCGAUCUGGGUCGAUACUGACGCUGAGGUGCGAAAGCGUGGGG
rnacentral:rRNA from 1 species